rnacentral:lncRNA from 1 species
GAAUCUUGUCAGUGGAAUAUUAUAUCUACUGUUGUGUGAUGAAGGAAGCUGACCAACUGUGUAAAGUUUUCACUGUGAUCUGCGGUGGUUGUUUAUCAUGAAGAGAUCCAUUCGACCCACAACACGUGAUCGUGAAGGCCGUGUCCAACAUCAUCUGCUCAGUGGUGUUCGGAGACUGCUAUGAGCACAAGGACACCGUUUCCACAGCCUCCUGGACAUCCGCAAUUAAAAUCUCUUCCUGACUGGAUCUGCUCUCGGCCAGAGGAUCCAGAGGAAUGUGUCAGAGCUGAAAGGCUUCAUAUCGGAGGUGGCCAGGCAGUACUGGAAGACCCUGGACAGGGACAACCUCUGAGACUUCAUAGACUCCUACCUGAUUGGAGAGACCGGACUCGAGUCCGGACUCAGCGUACUUUGAGGAGAACAUGGUGUUGUCGCUGGCUGAUCGCUUCCUGGCUGGGACUGACACCACCUUCACCACCAUCAGAUGUGGACUCCUCAACAUGAUGGAGCACCCAUACAUUCAAGAUUUUUCAUGUGUUGGGGUUCGGCUGCACCCCCUCAAUGGACAACAGGGCAUCCCUCUCCUACGUCUAUGCCACGGUCCAUGAGGUCUAGAGGGGGGGUAACGGCGUUCCACUAGGGGUGGUCCAUGCCGCCAGCUCAGUGGCUUCCACCUGCCUAAGUUGGGGCUGAAUGAUACCAGGCUAUUUGAUACCUGUGUCCUACUACCUUACUGUGAAAAGUACCAACUUCGUCAACAUGACUGCGAUCCUGACGGAAAAAGACCACCGGAAGUACCCGGAUACCUUUUAAUCCUGCUAACUUUCUGGAUGAUAAGGGCCAGUUCUGCAAACAAGAUUCCUUCCUGGCCUUUUCUCUGGGCCUGUGGGUGUGUCUGGGGGAGUAGCUGGCCAGUUGGAUCUGUUUUGUGUUCUUCACAUCCCUGUUGCAGCACCUGUGUUUAUCCUGGCCCCCCAACACUUCUCCCCAGGACACGGAGGGCAUUCUUCAACCUGAUCCACAAACCCAAACCCUUCACCAUGCUCUGUCACAGCCGAGGCACCAAACACUGAGACCAGGGCCCACUCCCAUCCAGAGGGACCCACAGAAGCAACCAGGGUCAACGUCCUGCCCAAGGGCAUGCCGACAGAUCUCCCACAUGGUCAGAAACAGGGACCCGACCCAGGAACCUAUCAGCCACCGGCCCAAGUUCUCAACCGCCAGGCCACCAGCCCUCCAAGAUCCCCCCCCCCAAAGUUCCCAAGAGCUGCCCCUCAAUCAUCCGAGACCCACCACCCCUGAAAAAAAUAAAAAAUCAUAAUAAAAUGAUUCCAUUCCCCGUCCCCCAAUGUAGCAACAAUGAACUAAAGUGAAAAACAAAGGAAAAUAUGCAAGAAAUCAAGGACAACUGAAUACUUUUGAGUGCAUGUAUGGCACUAGUUACGUGUGAAUGAGUGUGUGUGUAUGCAUGUGUACGGGCAUUAAAUGUAACAACGUUGCCCCUCAGUGUCAUUCAAUGUUUUUGGUUUAUUUUGACUUUAAUGUACUGUAUGUUAAAGGUUGUGUGGGAAAGUAAGAUGACUAGAGUGUUGGAGAGGUAGUGGGUGUGUUAUUGUACAGUGCUGUUGAAUGGAUGUGACCUUGUGCACGCUAAGCUUUUACCAAGAACUUAACAUGACAGAAUAGACCUUGCCUGUUCAGUUUGAGGCGAAAAAAAGCACGUUCCAUGUCUUUCAGAAUGUUUUAUUCAAAUGUUUAGAAAACUGUAUGAUAUGGUAAAGUAUGUAGCUUAUCACUCUAUCAAAAUAAAGUAAUUACCUAAGAUAAAUAUAAUCCAAUUGACGCUGUACAACAAUGAUUGAUUUAUGUAUUGUUCUAGGUUUACUUGUCUAAAAUCUGUCAAACAUGAAUAAAAUUGGGUACAAAGUGUCUAUGUUCAAACAUGUACACUUUAAAGUGAAAUCUUGUUUGCCAUGCUGUAUCAUAUAUGUGUGUAUAUAUAUAUGUGUGUGUAUAUAUAUAUAUAUAUAUAUAUAUGUGUGUGUGUGUAUAUAUAUGUAUAUAUAUGUAUAUCUAUAUAUGUAUAUGUAUGUAUAUCUAUAUGUAUAUAUAUAUCUGUGUGUGUAUACUAUAUAUAUGUGUAUGUGUGUGUGUAUAUAUAUGUAUAUAUAUAUAUCUGUGUGUGUGUGUGUAUAUGUAUGUGUGUGUGUAUGUAUAUAUAUAUGUAUAUAAAAUCAUUGAAUGAAUUGUAUUUCCACAGUCUAAAAAUGUAAAAAAUCAUCAAUCUGUAAUUCACAGGCGUGUACUUUCAUGGUAAGAAUGUGUUGAUUGUGUGUAUCCCGUCUUGUAGGAUGUGCCAUUGUCUUGUAUGUAGACUUCCCUAAUGCUUUUCCCUGAUAUCGUUAUGGGCCGUGUACAUUUGAGGUUCUUCCGUUGGCUUGACUUUGAUUGGAAUCUUGAAAUCGGUCUCUUUGCGGACGGCCUGGUCCCUGCUUGGCAUAGGUCAAGAAGGCUAGCGACAACCAACACGACCGGCAUCCGUCCCACCUCCACAAUGGCCUAGUGCUGGGAGCACCAGUGUCUGUACCCCGAUCCCCUGAAGCCUCACCACAUCGGGGAGGGAGGCCAAGAGGUACCUGGUGGAGGGGUAGGGCUUAAGUACCUCCGGGUGCAGGAGGAGAGAGCAGGCCUGACUCAUACGGGAAAGGGGUACUCCCUCUGGGUGCUGGUUCAUCAGGUCAUGCAGGCUGCUCCUCAGUCUAGUCAGGUAACUAUUCUGGGCAGUAGUAGAGGCUGCUGGUCUAGCAGAAGUCCUUACUUUUUAAGAAAAAGAAAAGAUAAUCAUUUUGAGGUUGCAGUCAGGUGCUAUCCUCUCAUUGUUGAAAUAUAACCAAAUUAGGGCUAGUUAAAAAUGUACUGGGGGGGGGGGGUCUGAUCCAAUCACGACUCCCCUUGUACUGUAAAUCACUUGCAGAAUCUCU